AAAUGUAGAAUUUAUCAUUCUCAAACCCACUCUGCGUACUCUUACACGUUGCUUCCGUGGGCAGUAGGAGUCAAAUCCUGCGCCCGCCCACAAGGUGGACCCACGGGAGAUAAACAAACAUCCGCCUCAUGUGAUCUCAGUCUGAUUAUGUUUAUUCUUUAAACGUUAAAACUUUCAACAACGGAUCUCUUGGUUCU
rnacentral:misc_RNA from 1 species